rnacentral:lncRNA from 1 species
CAAAAGUUAUAGUAAAGGAAAGACAAGCUCACAACACUAGCAUUGCAGAUUUUUCCUCUCUAGAUUUCUGUAUGGUCACAUUUCUUUGCAGUUUUUUCACUUUUGAGAAUUUAACUAUUUAAAGACUUUUUAAAAAUUCUGUGGAUCCUGUGUAUAUCCAGUAUUUUUAAAAUUUAUCUUGUUUUUCUGCUUCGCAAAUUUAAACCGAGUGCCCCCCAACAGUUACUCUGCUAAGUUCUACUAAAAUUUUAAAAAUCAAGGAAUCAAGUUUUAUUUAUCCUACUGAAUAUGGAUUAAAUAGGAAAUUCAGAGGGUUAGCCGAAUCCAUGGUUAUUAAAAAUCUGGCAGUGGGAGUCCGGGGAAGGAAGCUAAGAACGUCCUAGAAACUACACUGGAAAACUGAAGGCAGGUGGGACACCUGCCACAGCAUGGCUUGAUAAGCAGUGCACAGGUCUGCACCCAGGAUCCAAACCGGUGAACCCCAGGCCAUCAAAGCAGAGCACACGAACUUAACCCCUAUGCCACCAGGCCAGCCUGUAAAUUCCGGGUUUUUUCGAGAGAAGGCUACCGUUAUUACCGAUGCUACCAGGCACCUCUUCCAUGGAAAUCCAAUCAGCUUUAAGAGGACCCAGGAGGGCAGAACUGCCCUUGAAAUGCUAAAAUUGGGAAAACAGCUUGAGAAUGUUAUGAAGCAAGACACACUGACGUGAAAGAUAUUUUCAUCUCCACUCACUUGGUGCCAACUCAGAGCAAAGUUAGGAAAACAGAGCACCAUGUGCUGUAAAGUAAUACUGAAUGGAACAGUUCUAGAGACUUGGAUCUGAAGUGCAAGAUCAGGUGCUGAUGCUGGCAGAUUCCACGUUUGGUUUGCCCCACUAUCCAAAAGCUGGCUUCACACCACUUC